AGAGUUUGAUCAUGGCUCAGGACGAACGCUGGCGGCGCGCCUAACACAUGCAAGUCGAGCGAGAACCAGGGCUUCGGCCCUGGGGACAGCGGCGAACGGGUGAGUAACACGUGGAUAACCUGCCCUCGGCACCGGAAUAGCCCGGGGAAACUCGGAUUAAUGCCGGAUGGCCCCACAUCCCUGCGGGGAACGUGGGAAAAGGUAGCUUCGGCCUCUGGCCGAGGAUGGGUCCGCGGUGGAUUAGCUUGUUGGCGGGGUAACGGCCCACCAAGGCGACGAUCCAUAGCUGGUCUGAGAGGACGAUCAGCCACACUGGGACUGAGACACGGCCCAGACUCCUACGGGAGGCAGCAGUGGGGAAUCUUGCGCAAUGGGCGAAAGCCUGACGCAGCGACGCCGCGUGCGGGAAGAAGGCCUUCGGGUUGUAAACCGCUUUCAGGAGGGACGAAGCCACUCGGGUGAAUAGCCCAGAGGGUGACGGUACCUCCAGAAGAAGCCCCGGCUAACUACGUGCCAGCCGCCGCGGUAAUUC
rnacentral:rRNA from 1 species